GGAAAAGUUUGGAACUUCCUAGAGACUAGGCAGGCUCAGAAGACAGGAAAGUGUAGGAAAGUUUGGAACUUCCUAGAGAGUUGUAGAAUGACUUUGACCAAACUGCUGAUAGUGAUAUGGACAAUAAAGUUCAGGCUGAGGUGGUUUCAGAUAGAAAUGAGGAACUUGUUGGGAACUGGAGUAAAGGUCACUCUUGCUAUACAAAGAAAUGGCGGCAUUUUGCCCCUGCCCUAGAGAUCUGUGGAAAUUUGAACUUGAGAAAGAUGAUUUAGGGAAUCUACUGGAAGAAAUUUCUAAGCACCAAAGUAAAGUGUUCAAGAUGAAGCAGAGCAUAAAAGUU